rnacentral:lncRNA from 1 species
UACUUACAGAUAAUAUUAUUUCGGCGUUUAUCAAGACAUGUUAUUUUUCGAAUGGUUGUUUUAUAUCCCUGUUGAAGAUGCAAACAUUUCAACACAAAUUCGUUUGACAAAAAAAAAAAAAAAACGAAAAAACGGGGUUUUUGUUUUUUAAAUUUGGCACUUAAUUAAUCUUCUCAAUUCAGUGAGAUUAAAAAAAUAACUCACUUGUUAGUUGUGACAAAUUCACCACAUAACAAACUCAUAUUAGAGUACGGUUUAUUUUUUAAUACGGGACACAAAUUUAUGAUCGGCUAAUGCCAUUGAGGCAAUAAAUUAGUUGAAGAGAGAACCUCAACAACUAAAAAAUUAGUUAAUCCCAUUCAUAUUAUUUUUUUCGUCCUCAAACUUGCCCUUCCGAAUAAGUAAACAUGUCAUUUCUUCUUAGUAAAACUUUAUAAACUGUUUGUACCAUACUUGACCAAUCCCGAAACUACCGAGCACCGGCCAACGCUAUACUGUCAAGGACCCAGAAGAGUUCCCCUCCGACCAGGAGGCCAAUCACUACUCGACACGUGUCAAGAUUAGAAGCCAAUCAGAGCGCAGCACGUGUCGACAUCAAGAACCAAUCAUAACAUGACACAUGUCAAUGUGACAAAGCUACAAGUUUUUCUAUAAAUAGGGGUCAUUCCCCCACAAUAUUGCCUAAUGCCAUUUGUGUUAAAUCAUUCACAAGAACUCACUAAAUUGAGAGCUUGAUCCCUUGUACUUGUGUAAGCCCUUCACUACUAAUAAGAACUCCUCUACUCCGUGGACGUAGCCAAUCUGGGUGAACCACGUACAUCCUGUGUUUGCUUCUCUGUCUCUAUUCAUUUACGUACUUAUCCUCACUAGUGACCGAAGCAACCAAGCGAAGGUCACAAAACCUGACACUUUCUGUUGUACCAAAGUCUUCGCUGAUUUUGUGCAUCAACAUUUGGCGCCGUCUGUGGGAAACGACACUUAUUCCUACUCUCUUCAGCUGUGUCAAGCUGGUUUCUAUCAUUCGUACACUUUCUUUUGAUCAGGCAUCCCUCUCCAGCAUGGGAAGCGAAGGAAGCCACAGCACACAGAAUGACACCCCCCUUGCACAUAGUGCGAAACAACGAAAGAAGGAAGGAAAACGAGUCUCUUCUUCAAGCUAAAGUCGAUGAGUUGGAAGCUCAGAACAACAAGAUAGCAAUGAGGAAUGAGGUCCUCCAGGAGCAAUAUGAGAAGCUCUUCGAGACACUUCACGAAGCUAGGCAAGCUCAGACACGCGAGCUUGUUGCCCCCGUGGAAGUCAACCAUCAACUGGGUGCCCUCCAACAUGGAGGGUCACAUGCAUUCGACAUAGAUAUCCCUGAUAGGGAACAAAUUACCCCUCGAUUUGAUAAUCAACAUGAGGCUUCUCUUAACCUAGUUGCUUCGACCCGAACCAUGAGAAGCGGAGGGAGACACCUCUUUGUUGAAGGGGCAGAAGGAUCGAAAGCCGUCUUUCGCGAUUGUCGGGAUUUCCUGAAGCAACGUCGAGAGAAUUCCAUCCAUAUAAGCUCAAAGAUCAAUGACCCAAGGAUUUCUGAGAGACUCGGUCCCCUGCCACGGCCCGAGCCGGCCACCAACUUGGGGGAAGGUGCAACAAGUCCUAGAGAGACAUGAGGGUACAGGGGACUCAGAGGUGUUCCGACAGACAUACCCUGGAAGCCAGUACAGCGAGUCCAGGGAAAAAUCACAUGCCCUUGAUCAAACCUUCCUAAUUCCAAGAGGAGAUGGAGAUUUACGAAAGAAAACUCCAGUGGCACAUAACUCCGCUCAGGACCCCCUUGUCCUACAACUUCUUGAGGAAGUAAACAAGUUGAAGGCUGAACGUCAGGCUGAAAUACCUGAUUGGAACCAACCCAGGCCUGGCCCUCUUACAAGGAGGAUCCUCAACACCCCCCUUCAAGCAAAGACAAAGCAGAAGCUUGGCUUGCAACUUUAUACUGGAAAAGAGGACCCGAUUGAGCACCUUAACCUCUUUGAGUCCACCAUGGCAUACCGGAUGCACACCGACGAAGAGCGAUGUCUUCUCUUCCCCUCCACCCUCUCUGGCGGAGCUCUAAAUUGGUAUUGUCGUCUUACACCUGAGACGGUAGACUCAUUUGAGGAAUUGAGGAAACUAUUUGUUUCCCAACACAUUUUCCAAACCGAUCGCUUGCACUCUGCAGAUGACCUGUACACUAUCCGCCAGAGGCCAGACGAGUCAUUACGUAUGUAUGCUGGCCGCAUCAGCCAUGAAUACUCCCGGUGUGCCGAGGCAGACGACAAGACUGCCCUCAAAGCCUUCACGGCAGGCCUACGUGAUUGUUUUCUUUAAAUACAUGAUCAUGAUGCAAUGCCAAUACUUGGAAGACUUACUCUGAGGUGAUGGCGCAGGCUUAUAACCAUGCCUCCGCCGAGGCAAAGACAUAUCAGGAGAAACCCCCUCACCCAACGCCAUGGAGGAAGAACUAGCAAUAGCUAAAGUUUGACGGUUGGGAAGAUCAUCCAAUGUUUCUCUAGUACAGGACUCUAACAAAGACCCUGAAGACUCCGACAUUGCAGACUCAGACUUAGAGCUAAAGCUAGAAGAGCCCUCAUCACUAGAACUUCCAGGCUCUGACAUCUACAAUAAGAAGAAACAAAUUCUAUCACUACAUGCAUGAUCAAAACCGUGUCAAGCGCCCAAAAAAAAAAAAAAAAAAAAACAGCUUCACCCGAAAAGCUUCACUCCAAAAAACUUCACCCAAAAAGCUUCAUCCAAAAAGUUUCACCCAAAAAGCUUCACCUAAAAAAGCUUCACCAAAAAAAAAAAAAACUUCACCUCCAAAAAGCUUCACCCAAACAGCUUCACCUAAAAAAGCUUCACCCACAAAGCUUCACCUAAAAAGCUUCACCCACAAAGCUUCACCCAAAAACAAAAAGCUUCACCUCCAAAACUUCACCCAAAAAGCUUUCAUCCAAAAAGUUUCACCCAAAAAGCUUCACCUAAAAAAAGCUUCACCCAAAAAAAAAAAAAAAAAAACUUCACCUCCAAAAAGCUUCACCCAAACAGCUUCACCUAAAAAAGCUUCACCCACAAAGCUUCACCUAAAAAGCUUCACCCAAACAGCUUCACCUAAAAAAGCUUCACCCACAAAGCUUCACCCACAAAGCUUCACCCAAAAAACUUCACCCGAAAAGCUUCACUUAAAAAAGCUUCACCUACACAGCUUCACCUAAAAAAAGCUUCACCUAGAAAGCUCCCUCUACAUACUUUCACCUACAAAGCUUCACCAUCAAAGCUUCACCUCGAAAGCUUCAUCUACAUAGCUUCACCAUCAAAGCUUCACCCAAAAAGCUUCACCUAAAAAAGCUUCACCCAAAAAAAAAAAACUUCACCUCCAAAAAGCUUCACCCAAACAGCUUCACCUAAAAAAGCUUCACCCACAAAGCUUCACCUAAAAAGCUUCACCCACAAAGCUUCACCCAAAAAACUUCACCCGAAAAGCUUCACUUAAAAAAGCUUCACCUACAAAGCUUCACCUAAAAAAGCUUCACCUAGAAAGCUUCACCUACAUAGCUUCACCCAGAAAGCUUCAUCUACAAAGCUUCACCAUCAAAGCUUCACCUCCAAAGCUUCACCUACAAAGCUUCAACACAAAACCUUGCUCCAAAUAAACAAAUUUUGUUCACAAAACCCAAGAUGCCCUUGAACUUGUACAAAAACACUUGGGUAAACAUAAACAUUUUUUGUUUUACACCCACAAGGGCCCAAAAUUUUCCUUCUUAUUUAUUCACUUAUAUAUGUUCCCAAACAUAUUUAUAAUAGAUCCAACAACAAGCCAAAGUCCCAAGUUUCAUAAUGGACAAAAGUACAAGCAAUUCAUCAAUAAUGAAGGUGCUACAAAACUUGGAAUCUGCCCCAAAAAUAGAAAUCCAACCCAAGAGACUUUUUCUCUCUCUCCCUCUUUCCGCCUCCUUUCAUCUAUCAAAUUUCUGCAACCUCUGCUCUUCUCCAAUGGAGCUGAAUUUUGGACACCCUAUAGUUUUUGAGCAUAUGAAACAACUUUCAAGAAGGAACCAUUUCUGUUUGAGCGACGGCAAAUUAAAGUGUUGAAGCUCCAAACAUGACAGUCGGAUUCUUGCAGAUUUCGAAGCUGCUAUGAUGUGUUUCGAAGAUCUGGAAAUAUUUAACCAUUAGUUCAUUCUGAAUUUUUGAUAUGUUAUGAAAGAGACGAUGAGGCACAACUUCAAUGAAGAAAGCAUGCUGAUCUGAACAAUAGAAAAUGGAGUUUCGAAGCUCACAACAAAUCUGACGGGUUGACAGAAAAAUAAUAACCAGUCAUUCAUCAUACCUAAAUUUCUUGAGUUAUACAGCUCCGAGGGAUCUCAAAUUUGGAUAUGUUGUAGUUCACAAGCUGAGGAACAACUUCAAUGAAGAAAGCAUGCUGAUCUGAGCAAGAGAAAAUAGAGUUUCAAAGCUCACAACAAAUCUGACGGGUUGACAGACAAAUGAUAAACAGUCACUCAUCAUACCUGGAUUUCUGGAGUUAUACUGCUCCGAGGGACCUCAAAUUUGGAUAUGUUGUAGUUCACAAGUUAAGGAACAACUUCGAUGAAGAAAUUAUGUUGAGAUGAACAAGAAAAAAUGGAGUUUAGAAGCUCACAACAAGUCUGACGGGUUAACAGAAAAUUGAUGAACAGUUACUCAUCAUACCUGAAUUUCUGGAGUUGUACUACUCUGAUGGAUCUCAAAUUUGGAGAUGUUGUAGUUCACAAGAUAAGGAACAACUUUCAUGAAGACUACUUUGCGAUCUGAGCUAUAGAGAAUGGUGUUAUCUUGCAUCCACUCAGGCUGAUUAGUGGAAACGAAAAGCAAUUCCACCAAAGAAAAGAUGAAAAAGAGAGAAAAGCUACUAAUUGCACUUGAUCUUGUCUAGUCAAUAGCAUGCAGCAUCAAACACACAAAAGUUGGAAAUAUUUUUAGACAAGGCAUAUGCGAAUGUGUGACAUCGAAACAAGGAUUCGUUACUUUGACAAAUUAGUAACAAGCGAGACACCUCAUUCGGCAACUCUCUUCGCCUGAAGACUUGGGGGACUCCCACCAUAUUGCUACUGCACCUUAAUACUCGGCAGUCUCACAACCACUCAGUGACUUGGAUUUUUCAAGUCUCCAACCGAGAAGUUUUCCUCACUCGGGAAAUUAAGGGAACACUACCUCAAACUACAUGCUUCACUCACAAAGCUUCAACAAUACAGGUUUCAACAAAAGCAAAAAUUCAAAGAACUUUAUGAAGAAGGCUUUGGUGUAUUUAACACAAUAUAUUGAAAUGAAGCAAAGCUUAUUUAUUAAUAUUUUUCGAUAAGCCACAAAUAUGUACAUAUACAUGAGUCAAAAUAAACAAACAAAAGGGAGCCUUCACAAAGGUUGCUUAGGGGAAGUCUCAGCAGUCGGUAGAGCCCCAGAAAGAGAAAGCACCGGAGGGUGGUUAUCCGGAGCCUCAGUACUUGACAAAACCCCAGAAGGAGAAGGCAUUGGAGGUUCAUCAUUUGAAGCUUCAUUACCAGGUACAGCCCCAGAGGACGAAGGCAAUAAAUGCCUUUGGAACAAACCCACAAACCGCUGAUGAUCAAGUAAAACCUUACCAUCAGAUUCCUUCAUCUGGUCAAGCUUCCUCUUCAUGUUUGUAGCAUAGUCAUGGGCGAGCCGGUGCAACUGCUUAUUCUCAUGCUUGAGCCCUCUAAUCUCCUGUUUGAGACUCAUCACUUCAGCAGCCAAUGAUUCAACUUGACGGGUUCUAGCAAAUAGGCGUUGGGCCAUAUUAGACACAGAACCUGCACACUGAACACUAAGAGCCAGAGAGUCCUUAACAGCCAACUCAUCAGACCGUUUGGAAAGUAGUCUGUUAUCUUUGGGAGUGAGAAGGUUCCUGGCCACCACUGCAGCGGUCAUAUCAUUCUUCAUCACAGAAUCCCCAACGGUAAGAGGACCAGUAGGGGAUAUGAAGGAUGGGCGCCAUAUGUUGUCUGGAGAAGGCGUGGCUGUCUCUUCUCCAAGGUUCAGGUCAAAACGACGGUCGGAGGGUCCAGACAUUUUCAAAUGUGUUGAAGAAGGAAGAGGUCAGACAAAUCAAGAUCUUAGAAGUGCAAGAAAUGAGCUUCUACUGGUAGAGAUUCAGGUGUGCUGUGGAACUUAAUGCCAGCCUCUAUAAAAAUCUGCACUCGACGGAGCUUCAGAAAUCGAAGAGGCGUUUGCUUUCUCAAAAGCUGGGCUGCUCAGAGACCACGAGGGCCGAUCUCAGAAAUCGAAGAGGCGUUUGCUUUCUCAAAAGCUGGGCUGCUCAGAGAACACGAGGGCCGAUCUCAGAAAUCGAAGAGGCGUUUGCUUUCUCAAAAAGCUGGGCUGCUCAGAGACCACGAGGGCCGAUCUCAGAAAUCGAAGAAGCACCUGCUUUUUCAGCCUCGUCAGCACCUGUCACAUGCACAAUCAGCUUUGCGGAAAUUACGGGCAAUCUGUCGAAAAUUUCUGGUGAAGUAAAAAGCACGUGAAUCUUACUGUUCAAUCACCGCUCUCCAUAUGCACCAUCAACUCCUCGGGUACCACAUAUAACUUUGUCAAAGAUCUCUGACAAAGUUUAGGCACGAGAAAUUUCGAAGUUCCAGCUACCCUACUAUUACCCAUAAGGGUAAAGGAACAGCACCACUGCUUGACAACUGGAAAGUCCCUAUGUGUGUCGACCUCCGUGUUUUGCGGCAAGACAGGUUGGCAAGAACGUCCAACCUUUACUCACAUUCGAGAAAAGACUCCCAACAUAAUUACUUUUCUCAAAAACCGGAGUAGCACCGCUUUCCGAAUCUCGAGAGUCAGAUCCUCGACGGGAUUGCUUGUUCGAAACCGAAGAGGCACAACUCUCAGAACUUCGAGAGCCAGAUUUCCUUAGAUAAAGCUUGUCUGUAAUCUUCACACGUAAUAUCAGCUUUCCAGAUACCACAUACCACUUUUUCAAAGUGCUCUGACAAAAUUAAAACACGUGAAGCUGGCAACUCCCACUACAUUGCUGUGACCAAGAAGGGUAAAGGAAUAGCAUUACUACUUGUUAUUGGGAAAUCCCUAUAUACAUUGACCUCCCUCCUCAACGGACAGGCAAACCUGCAAAAAUGCUCAACCCUUUCUCGCAUUCGAAAAGGCACCCUCAACAUAAACUCUCGAAAUACUCAGCUUUAUUUCCCCCCGAUAAUACCUCAGCAAAUAAGCCACACCAAGAACAAGAGUAUCUCAUAUCAUCAGGGUCGAAAGCAAGAGUAUCUCAUAUCAUGCUUUCUCCCUAUCUUUGUCUUUGUCCUUGUCCACACCUGCAGGACAAGGAGAAAGAGAGCAGUCAGUCGGAACCUGAAAUCAAACCUCCAAUUUGGAACUGACUGCCUGAAGCCUUUGCCUGGUUGCUUACUUAGCAUUGCUCUCGAGUACUCAUCCUCAACUGCUGUCAAGGUCACGAAUUCCACCGGCAAAUACCUCAUGACAGUUGAUCAGAUAUUGGCUCUUUACACUGAAGCUGCCAAGCGUGGAUGAGUCACUAUGAAGGAAUGUUCUGAAGGACCAUUUAAAUGCAAAGGUUGCACACCACUUCUGCCAUGCAAAAGAUUGAAGCAGAAGGUUCAACGGUGAGUUGAUACAGAUCACUACAGCACGACACCUUUCCAUACCACAUUCAUUAUUCUGUCAACAACAAAAGUAUCCCAUAUCAUCAAGGUCGAACAUACUCUAGAUUUGAUGGACUUGUUUUGACCCUCAAAUUUUUGAGUCGGCCUUAUACUCUGAAGGGCACCAGAAAACCCUCCAGCACAGUUCAAGAAUAAGCCUGUGGAAAGUUACUUCUUCAAAAGCAAAAGUAUCUCAUAUCAUCUCUUAUCCAUUUGCUUCUCCUUAUCCUGGCAGUUGAAUGAGAGACAAGGAGAAGGAGAACAAUCAACCGGAAGCCGAAGUCAAACCUCUGAUCCUGGGUUGCUUACUUGGAAGUUUGACUGCUUACCUUGUCUGUCACCUCUUUCGGCAGAUCUCUCUAGCUCGGCGACUUGGGGGACUCCUACUAUAGGGUUUGUAUCACACUUGACUAAGCCCGAAACUACAACUAAGCUUCAAGUGAAAUUGAUACAUUACCUUGUGCGUCAACAUCAGCUAAAUACACCAUUCCCGGAUGGAGGAAAGGUACUUCCAGAGAAGGGCAGAUGAAGAUCAGACCACACUUCGGUACUUAGAAUUUCGUGAUUACUCAAGGGAUUGGAUCUUGCAAGUCCCCAACCGAGGAGUUUCCCUCACUCGGGAACUUAGGGGAGCACUGUUUGUACCAUACUUGACCAAUCCCGAAACGAAACUACCGAGCACCGGCCAACGCUAUACUGUCAAGGACCCAGAAGAGUUCCCCUCCGACCAGGAGGCCAAUCACUACUCGACACGUGUCAAGAUUAGAAGCCAAUCAGAGCGCAGCACGUGUCGACAUCAAGAACCAAUCAUAACAUGACACAUGUCAAUGUGACAAAGCUACAAGUUUUUCUAUAAAUAGGGGUCAUUCCCCCACAAUAUUGCCUAAUGCCAUUUGUGUUAAAUCAUUCACAAGAACUCACUAAAUUGAGAGCUUGAUCCCUUGUACUUGUGUAAGCCCUUCACUACUAAUAAGAACUCCUCUACUCCGUGGACGUAGCCAAUCUGGGUGAACCACGUACAUCCUGUGUUUGCUUCUCUGUCUCUAUUCAUUUACGUACUUAUCCUCACUAGUGACCGAAGCAACCAAGCGAAGGUCACAAAACCUGACACUUUCUGUUGUACCAAAGUCUUCGCUGAUUUUGUGCAUCAACAUAAACUAUAUUUUAAACAUGAUAGUUCAAGCAAAUUCUGAACAUGUUUCCACUUCCACACAAGCAAAUUCUGAAUAGCUGCUUCUCCUGCAUGGAAGUAAAGCCACUCAAAAUUUUCUGCAAUCACGGCAGCUCACUCAGCCG